rnacentral:rRNA from 1 species
ACCAUGUUAAAUCUGAACUUUGUUAAAAUAAACUAAAACUUUCAACAACGGAUCUCUUGGUUCUGGCAUUGAGUCUUACCAGC